GGGGCUGAAUUUAAGCUCGACGGUUGAACUUUAACAAGCUUUGCAUACAGGCCGGGUCGCACUAAACGUUAUCUGGUGCACAAAUUUAAACGCCAAAAACGUUUUGGCUACAAUCGCUAGCGCCUUUCGCGCACCAGCGCUCGUAGCUGUCAAAGCCUAAGAAUUCGAAGGCUUUCCAUCGGGAUUCUGACGUCAGAUAGGGAUUCUCCGGUGUCAUAUCAUCUGAUUGCUUCUGGUUUUGGUGGUCCGCCAAGCCCAGAUCAAGACUAACGGACUUUAGCUUGAUUCUCUUUUGACUGUUUUUGAAGAGUUUUGCUGAAACAAAAUUUAAAUAGUAUAUGCCUGUAAAAUUGUGCAAGCAUGUUAUCAAUCGGACGUGGGGGCAGUACCCACCAGCUCCACCA
rnacentral:tmRNA from 2 species